CCCUUAGAUGUCCUGGGCCGCACGCGCGCUACACUGAUGCAUGCAACGAGUUUAUAACCUUGGCCUGAAAGGUCUGGGUAAUCUUUUGAACGUGCAUCGUGAUAGGGACAGAUUAUUGCAAUUGUUAAUCUUGAACGAGGAAUUCCUAGUAAACGCGAGUCAUCAGCUCGCAUUGAUUACGUCCCUGCCCUUUGUACACACCGCCCGUCGCACCUACCGAUUGAAUGGUUCGGUGAAGAUCUCGGACUUCGAUAUUUAUUCUUUAUUGAGUUUAUAUUGUGGGAAGUUAUCUAAACCUCAUCAUUUAGAGGAAGGUGAAGUCGUAACA
rnacentral:rRNA from 1 species